rnacentral:ncRNA from 1 species
UAACCUCUGACGAAAAUCGUGAAAGUUA